rnacentral:rRNA from 1 species
GGCUCAGGAUGAACGCUGGCGGCGUGCCUAAUACAUGCAAGUCGAGCGAACGGAUAAGGAGCUUGCUCCUUUGAAGUUAGCGGCGGACGGGUGAGUAACACGUGGGUAACCUACCUAUAAGACUGGAAUAACUUCGGGAAACCGGAGCUAAUGCCGGAUAACAUAUAGAACCGCAUGGUUCUAUAGUGAAAGAUGGUUUGCUAUCACUUAUAGAUGGACCCGCGCCGUAUUAGCUAGUUGGUAAGGUAAUGGCUUACCAAGGCGACGAUACGUAGCCGACCUGAGAGGGUGAUCGGCCACACUGGAACUGAGACACGGUCCAGACUCCUACGGGAGGCAGCAGUAGGGAAUCUUCCGCAAUGGGCGAAAGCCUGACGGAGCAACGCCGCGUGAGUGAUGAAGGUUUCGGAUCGUAAAACUCUGUUAUUAGGGAAGAACAAAUGCGUAAGUAACUGUGCGCAUCUUGACGGUACCUAAUCAGAAAGCCACGGCUAACUACGUGCCAGCAGCCGCGGUAAUACGUAGGUGGCAAGCGUUAUCCGGAAUUAUUGGGCGUAAAGCGCGCGUAGGCGGUUUCUUAAGUCUGAUGUGAAAGCCCACGGCUCAACCGUGGAGGGUCAUUGGAAACUGGGAAACUUGAGUGCAGAAGAGGAAAGUGGAAUUCCAUGUGUAGCGGUGAAAUGCGCAGAGAUAUGGAGGAACACCAGUGGCGAAGGCGACUUUCUGGUCUUGUUAACUGACGGCUGGAUGGAGUAAGG